GAUGAACGCUGGCGGCGUGCCUAAUACAUGCAAGUCGAGCGAACAGACGAGGAGCUUGCUCCUCUGACGUUAGCGGCGGACGGGUGAGUAACACGUGGAUAACCUACCUAUAAGACUGGGAUAACUUCGGGAAACCGGAGCUAAUACCGGAUAACAUGUUGAACCGCAUGGUUCAACAGUGAAAGACGGUCUUGCGGUCACUUAUAGAUGGAUCCGCGCCGCAUUAGCUAGUUGGUAAGGUAACGGCUUACCAAGGCAACGAUGCGUAGCCGACCUGAGAGGGUGAUCGGCCACACUGGAACUGAGACACGGUCCAGACUCCUACGGGAGGCAGCAGUAGGGAAUCUUCCGCAAUGGGCGAAAGCCUGACGGAGCAACGCCGCGUGAGUGAUGAAGGUCUUCGGAUCGUAAAGCUCUGUUAUUAGGGAAGAACAAAUGUGUAAGUAACUAUGCACGUCUUGACGGUACCUAAUCAGAAAGCCCCGGCUAACUACGUG
rnacentral:rRNA from 1 species